CUGGCGGCAUGCUUUACACAUGCAAGUCGAACGGUAACAGGCCGCAAGGUGCUGACGAGUGGCGAACGGGUGAGUAAUGUAUCGGAACGUGCCCAGUCGUGGGGGAUAACGCAGCGAAAGCUGUGCUAAUACCGCAUACGAUCUAUGGAUGAAAGCGGGGGACCGUAAGGCCUCGCGCGAUUGGAGCGGCCGAUAUCAGAUUAGGUAGUUGGUGGGGUAAAGGCUCACCAAGCCAACGAUCUGUAGCUGGUCUGAGAGGACGACCAGCCACACUGGGACUGAGACACGGCCCAGACUCCUACGGGAGGCAGCAGUGGGGAAUUUUGGACAAUGGGGGCAACCCUGAUCCAGCCAUGCCGCGUGCAGGAUGAAGGCCUUCGGGUUGUAAACUGCUUUUGUACGGAACGAAAAGACUCUGGUUAAUACCUGGGGUCCAUGACGGUACCGUAAGAAUAAGCACCGGCUAACUACGUGCCAGCAGCCGCGGUAAUACGUAGGGUGCAAGCGUUAAUCGGAAUUACUGGGC
rnacentral:rRNA from 1 species